rnacentral:lncRNA from 1 species
UAACAACACGUCGUCUAUACAAGGUUUACUAUUUCUUAAAAAUAGUUGGAAAUAAGGUAGGAUUUGAUAAAUUAUUGUUAUCUUAGUUAAGUCUCGUCAAUCAUUUUAGCGGAAUAAAGGAAAUAUAUACUUAUAAAGACAAAUGUACAUUAUCAAAUUAAUAACUUUUUAUGGUGAAAAGUAUGAAAUCAAUAUUAUUAUAGUCAUGUUUUAUUCUAUUCUCUUUUUUUGCACCAAAAUACGUUUUCGUUUACAACAAAUAGUUGGUUAUUAUUUUCCAAUGCUUUGGUUUCAAUUUAUUGAUACGAGUAUUUGACUGAAGUUACGAAGAACAUUUGCCUUGUAAAAAUGAAUACAAAAUCCAAAAGGACAAAAGUCAGAAAAAAAUCAGAAAAUCUAACAUAAGGACUCCCGUUGGUAUAUUAUUCCAGGGAGGAACCAACAUGCGAUAUAUUUAACAUGAUAUUGGAGACGAACUUUACUGUCGUUUUGUAUGUCUUUUUACGUGGGUAAUAUUAAAAAAAAAUUCUAGUAAUUAUACGAAAUAUUCAAGUAAACAGAAGCUAGUAGUCAACCCAUUGUUUUACAAUAUUGAGGUCAAGGUCAUAUUUAAAAAGUAAAAUCACAAAAAUACUGAACUCGGAGGAAAAUCUAAUCGAAAAGUCCCUAAUCACAUGGUAAAAUAAAAUGAAAUUUUGACGUGCUAGAUAUUGACCUUUUCUAUACCUUCGUAUGUAUACAUGAUAAAGCUAGAGAUCUUUUGCAUUAUGUUGCUGGCAAUAUAUCCUUGAAAAAGUCAACCGGAAAAGACAUUGUUUAAACCGGAAGUAGCUAUAUUUUGUACUUAUCUAAUGUGAAAGUAUAUAGAAUCAUAUAUGUUUUGAUCCAAUAUAUUUUAGCUUGGUUUUUUUUAUUUUUGAUAAUUUUCUCGAACAUACUAUUUUUUCAGUUUAUUAGUAAUGGCACAUGCUUGGACAAAAGCUUUUAAGAACAAUAGAGUCGAUAUUGUAAAGGGCUUAGCAAACCCGGACGCUGUGGCUGACUACCUAUUUAGCGAUGGCAUGUUUACACAGGAUAUGCAAGCUUUAGUACAC